CAUUUUUAUGUACCCAACCUGCCCUGCCCUAGACGUUACCAAGAAGGGGAAAAAGGGCGGACACGCCAGGAAAGAAGAACGAGAAAGGAGACCAAGAAACGACCAGACCAGGAGGAGCCCAAUCCAUCGACCCUCCCCCGCGACCUCGAGUUCUCGAAGAAUCCAUUUCUCCAAGAACCCGGCUGCAGUACGCAGAGAGGCAGAGCGGAGCUGUGGAGCCGAGGCGGCCCGCGGUCCCCAUCCCCGCGAUUCGGCCGGGAUCCGGCCGCGCCGCCGCGGCCAUGGACAUGAUCGACAGCAUCGAGUGCGUGUCGUCGUCGGACGGCAUGGAGGACGACGACGCCAUGUCCUCCAACCUGCCCCGCCCCUUCCUCAAGGCCUCGGCGGCGGCCAUCGCGGCGGCCAGCAUCGGGGUGGUCCCCGGCGGCGUCGGUGGCGCGUCCGGCGCCGGCGCGGCCGGGGGGAUCGCCGGCCCGCUGAUUCCGCCGGCCACGAGCGUCCACGAGCUCCUGGAGUGCCCCGUCUGCACCAACUCCAUGUACCCCCCGAUCCACCAGUGCCAAAAUGGGCAUACCCUUUGUUCUACUUGCAAAGCUCGGGUGCACAACCGCUGCCCUACCUGUCGACAAGAGCUGGGCGACAUCAGGUGUUUGGCAUUGGAAAAGGUGGCUGAAUCACUUGAGCUACCAUGCAAAUACUACUCACUAGGUUGUCCAGAGAUCUUCCCAUACUAUAGCAAGCUCAAGCAUGAGUCGCAGUGCAAUUUUAGGCCAUACAGCUGCCCUUAUGCGGGAUCUGAAUGCUCCGUUGUUGGGGACAUUCCUUUCCUUGUUUCACAUCUGAGAGAUGACCAUAAGGUUGACAUGCAUUCUGGGUGCACAUUCAACCAUCGUUAUGUCAAGUCAAAUCCCAGAGAAGUUGAAAAUGCAACUUGGAUGCUAACUGUUUUCCAUUGUUUCGGGCAGUAUUUCUGCUUGCAUUUUGAGGCCUUCCAGCUCGGAAUGGCGCCAGUCUACAUGGCAUUCCUCCGCUUCAUGGGCGACGAGAAUGACGCAAGGAACUACAGCUAUAGCCUUGAGGUGGGUGCCAAUGGCAGGAAGAUGAUAUGGGAGGGCACGCCCCGGAGCAUCCGGGACAGUCACCGCAAAGUGCGUGACAGCCAUGACGGCCUCAUAAUCCAGCGGAACAUGGCACUCUUCUUCUCCGGUGGGGAGAGGAAAGAGCUGAAACUGCGGGUGACUGGCCGCAUCUGGAAGGAGCAGCAGAACCCCGACUCGGGAGCCUGCAUCCCUAAUCUCUUCAGCUGAAGUGAAUAGUUGGCAACAGGAUAUCAUGUGAUUCAGGUGUAUAUUGAAGAAAUGUGAUUGCCGAUUUGCUUUUCUCUCUUUACAGUUUGUGUUUGUGUCUUUUCGCUUUUUCAGCCACUUUGUUGUAACAUGCUCAAUAUUCUUUGGGGUGGUUGGUGUUAUCAAGGACAGCACGUGAAGCCUGCUGGAAAUCACAUGAUGAUCAUUCUCCUCUGCCUGGUCUGUGUCCUGUGAUUCCUAAAUGUCUGUCAUGUGAUUGUACUUUUAAUGAUCUAGUGAUGUAUGAUUGUAUUCUCAGUUGCUUGAAACAUGCAUGCAUCAACUGGGGAACUGCUUGAAACAUCUGUUCCAUACACCUUAACUUUUUAAAAGAAAGAUUCUAUGAUUUGUU
rnacentral:rRNA from 1 species